GCUGAAAGUCCGUAUUGCCCAGCGACAGCCCCGAAACCUGAAGGAUCUGGAGAAGGUCUGUAUGGAGGAGUGGGCCAAAAUCCCUGCUGCAGUGUGUGCAAACCUGGUCAAGAACUACAGGAAAUGUAUGAUCUCUGUAAUUGCAAACAAAGGUUUCUGUACCAAAUAUUAAGUUCUACUUUUCUGAUGUAUCAAAUACUUAUGUCAUGCAAUAAAAUUCUAGUGAAUUACUUAAAAAUCAUAAGAUGUGAUUUUCUGGAUUUUUGAUUCAGUAUCUCACAGUUGAAGUGUACCUAUGAUAAAAAUUACAGACCUCUACAUAAUUUGUAAGUAGGAAAACCUGCUAAAUCGGCAGUGUAUCAAAUACUUGUUCUCCCCACUGUAUAUAUAUAUGCACAUUUUGAAUAUUCCUUAUUUGUUAAGUAAAUAACGGAACCAAGAAAAGAUGGAACCAACAAAGGUGAUAUGAGAACACUCAGAGCAGGUGAGGGAACACUCAGAGCAGGUGAGGGUACACUCAGAGCAGGUGAGGGUACACUCAGAGAAGGUUAUAUGAGAACACUGAGAGCAGGUGAGGGAACAGUCGGAGCAGGUGAUAUGAGAACACUCAGAGCAGGUGAUAUGAGAACACUCAGAGCAGGUGAGGGAACACUCACAGCAGGUGAUAUGAGAACACUCAGAGAAGGUGAGGGAACACUCGGAGCAGGGGAUAUGAGAACACUCAGAGAAGGUGAUAUGAGGUCUCUCAGAGAAGGUGGGGGAACACUCCGAGAAGGUGAUAUGAGAACACUCAGAGAAGGUGACAUGAGCACACCCAGAGCAGGAGAUAUGAGAACACUCAGAGAAGGUGAUAUGAGAACACUCAGAGCAGGUGAGGGAACACUCAGAGCAGGUGAGGGAACACUCAGAGCAGGUGAGGGUACACUCAGAGCAGGUGAGGGUACACUCAGAGCAGGUGAUAUGAGAACACUGAGAGCAGGUGAGGAAACACUCAGAGCAGGUGAGGGAACAUUCGGAGCAGGUGAGGGUACACUCAUAGCAGGUGAUAUGAGAACACUCAUAGCAGGUGAUAUGAGAACACUGAGAGCAGGUGAUAUGAGAACAAUCAGAGAAGGUGAGGGAACACACAGAGCUGGUGAGGGAACACUCAGAGCAGGUGAGGGAACACUCAGAGCAGGUGAGGGUACACUCAUAGCAGGUGCUAUGAGAACACUCAGAGAAGGUGAGGGAACACUCGGAGCAGGGGAUAUGAGAACACUCAGAGAAGGUGAGGGAACACUCGGAGCAGGGGAUAUGAGAACACUCAGAGAAGGUGAUAUGAGGUCUCUCAGAGAAUGUGGGGGAACACUCAGAGAAGG
rnacentral:lncRNA from 1 species